GACGAACGCUGGCGGCAGGCUUAACACAUGCAAGUCGAGCGCCCCGCAAGGGGAGCGGCAGACGGGUGAGUAACGCGUGGGAAUCUACCCAUCUCUACGGAAUAACGCAUGGAAACGUGUGCUAAUACCGUAUACGUCCUUCUGGAGAAAGAUUUAUCGGAGAUGGAUGAGCCCGCGUUGGAUUAGCUAGUUGGUGGGGUAAAGGCCUACCAAGGCGACGAUCCAUAGCUGGUCUGAGAGGAUGAUCAGCCACACUGGGACUGAGACACGGCCCAGACUCCUACGGGAGGGAGAAGUGUGGAAUAUUGGACAAUGGGGGCAAGCCUGCUCCAGCCAUGCAGCGUGAGUGAUGAAGGCCCUAGGGUUGUAAAGCUCUUUCACCGGUGAAGAUAAUGACGGUAACCGUAGAAGAAUCCCCGGCUAACUUCGUGCCAGCAGCCGCAGUAAGAC
rnacentral:rRNA from 1 species